UCUUAGCUUGCUAAGGCUGAUGGCGACCGGCGCACGGGUGAGUAACACGUAUCCAACCUGCCGUCUACUCUUGGCCAGCCUUCUGAAAGGAAGAUUAAUCCAGGAUGGCAUCAUGAGUUCACAUGUCCGCAUGAUUAAAGGUAUUUUCCGGUAGACGAUGGGGAUGCGUUCCAUUAGAUAGUAGGCGGGGUAACGGCCCACCUAGUCAACGAUGGAUAGGGGUUCUGAGAGGAAGGUCCCCCACAUUGGAACUGAGACACGGUCCAAACUCCUACGGGAGGCAGCAGUGAGGAAUAUUGGUCAAUGGGCGAUGGCCUGAACCAGCCAAGUAGCGUGAAGGAUGACUGCCCUAUGGGUUGUAAACUUCUUUUAUAAAGGAAUAAAGUCGGGUAUGCAUACCCGUUUGCAUGUACUUUAUGAAUAAGGAUCGGCUAACUCCGUGCCAGCAGCCGCGGUAAUACGGAGGAUCCGAGCGUUAUCCGGAUUUAUUGGGUUUAAAGGGAGCGUAGAUGGAUGUUUAAGUCAGUUGUGAAAGUUUGCGGCUCAACCGUAAAAUUGCAGUUGAUACUGGAUGUCUUGAGUGCAGUUGAGGCAGGCGGAAUUCGUGGUGUAGCGGUGAAAUGCUUAGAUAUCACGAAGAACUCCGAUUGCGAAGGCAGCCUGCUAAGCUGCAACUGAC
rnacentral:rRNA from 1 species